AGAGUGGAACGCAGCCAGGAAUGGUUUGCCGACUAAAUUUGUGCUUGCCAUUGAUUCGGCAAGUCAUUCUUGGCUAUAUUUUACUCUCU
rnacentral:pre_miRNA from 1 species